GUCUUCCUAGGCCCUGCAGGAGCCUCCUAUGUGUGAUUAAAGUUCAAAUUACACUGCAGUAGAUAAUAAGGUCUAAAGCAAGUUAACAUCUGAUUGAAAAUUAAACGAUUGUUUUCAUGCAGGCUGUGUCAGGCACAGACAGGCUGUGCAGGCAACACAGCGAGUUUAUAAUAGGAACUGGGAAACAGUCAUGUAGCCAUUAAGUGGUUAAUGCAGCCAAUUUUAU